rnacentral:rRNA from 1 species
UACGUAGGGUCCAAGCGUUAUCCGGAAUCACUGGGCGUAAAGCGUGCGUAGGUGGUCUGUUAAGUGAGAUAUUAAAGCGUGUGGCUCAACCAUAUCGUUGUGUCUCAUACUGGCAGACUAGAGGACGGCAGAGGCAAGUGGAACUCGUAGUGUAGCAGUGAAAUGCGUAGAUAUUACGAAGAACACCAAUGGCGAAGGCAGCUUGCUGGGCCACACCUGACACUAAGGCACGAAAGCGUGGGGAGCGAACAGG